AGGCAGCAACCCAAGUCACGGCCUCUUCCUUCCUUCACCAUCUUCUCUCUUUCUUCACCUAAGAAUCGACAACAACAUCGGCUUUUUCGUGUCCAUCUCCGGCAUCGGCUCUUCCAUGUCCUUCCGAAUCCAUCUCUGGCAUCAACUCUUCCCCCUCUCUAGUAUGGGCUCUUUCCCCUCACCUGUAUUGGCUCUUCCCCCUCACCGGCGUCGGCUCUUCCUCGUCAGCCCUCACCGCUAUAUGCAUAUGCAUGGAGAAGGAAAGGACCACAUCGACAGUACCGAAAGAAAAAUAAAUAAUUUGGGAAGUAGCCAAGGUAUCAGGUUGGGUUGCCAUUGCCAAGUCUAGAAUCUUGAGUGGGAAUGGGAAAAGGAACAAUGGAACGUCUUUUGUUUAAGAUGUAAAUAUUGUAGUAGUAUUUAAUAGUGUAACUUGUCAUUAACGGUUUAGUUUUUUAGAAUUUGCAAACAAGCCUAGAAUUUGUUUUUAGAUUGUAAAUUGUUAAGCAAGUACUCUGAUAUAUGAUGAUAUCAUGUUGAAGGAGGUUAAUGCAGAUGGUUAGAUA